rnacentral:rRNA from 3 species
CGCACGCGUGCUACACUGAGCGGGUCAACGGGUGAGGAUGUGCGAGAGCGCUUCCCAAUCUCUAAAUCCGCUCGUGCUGGGGAUCGAGGCUUGCAAUUUUCCCUCUUGAACGAGGAAUACCUUGUAAGCAUGGGUCAUCAUCCCGUGCUGAAUACGUCCCUGCCCUUUGUACACACCGCCCGUCGCUCCUACCGAUUGAGUGGUCCGGUGAGGCCUUGGGAGGGAAAGAUGGACUGUGUUUCACGGACCGUCUGGCUCAAACUUGGUCAAACCUUAUCACUUAGAGGAAGGAGAAGUCGUAACAAGGUUUCCGUAGGUGAACCUGCGGAAGGAUCAUUCGA